GGGCGGAUGUGCAAUCUUCACCUGUUUAUUCGGUAGAGGGUGCCAUCUUCAGGUAGCCCUUCACGUUGUACAGAAAACAAUGGAGACUUCUCCUCCUGGGGCAGAGCCUCUGUCACCCUUUCGUCUCCAGUGGUGUCACCCUUCCUAAGCUACAGAGAUGUUGCUUCAACUUACAGCUCAGAUAACAAGUGCCACUUCCAGGCUAAAGGAAUCCACUCAGCAAACUCCCAGUAUGAAUGUUUCUGCUCUCGGCUGGAGAAACAGAAGAAGCAUUAAUGAAGGAGAGGGAUUCUACAGCCGCACAGUCCAAUAAAACUUUCUGUGGGGAUGGAAAUGAUCCAUUAUCUGUGCUCCCCAAUAUGCCAGUUGCUAGCUCCAAUUAGCUACCAAGCACCUAAAAUGUGGCUAGCGCAGCUGAGAAACAGAGCCUUUCAUUUUAUUUCACUUUAAUUAAAGAGUUCUAGAGCUCUUGCCUCUA
rnacentral:lncRNA from 10 species